rnacentral:rRNA from 1 species
GACGAACGCUGGCGGCGUGCUUAACACAUGCAAGUCGAACGGAAAGGCCCUGCUUUUGUGGGGUGCUCGAGUGGCGAACGGGUGAGUAACACGUGAGUAACCUGCCCUUGACUUUGGGAUAACUUCGGGAAACUGGGGCUAAUACCGGAUAGGGGCUCCUGCUGCAUGGUGGGGGUUGGAAAGUUUCGGCGGUUGGGGAUGGACUCGCGGCUUAUCAGCUUGUUGGUGGGGUAGUGGCUUACCAAGGCUUUGACGGGUAGCCGGCCUGAGAGGGUGACCGGCCACAUUGGGACUGAGAUACGGCCCAGACUCCUACGGGAGGCAGCAGUGGGGAAUAUUGCACAAUGGGCGGAAGCCUGAUGCAGCAACGCCGCGUGCGGGAUGACGGCCUUCGGGUUGUAAACCGCUUUCGCCUGUGACGAAGCGUGAGUGACGGUAAUGGGUAAAGAAGCACCGGCUAACUACGUG